UGGGGAAUAUUGCACAAUGGGCGAAAGCCUGAUGCAGCAACGCCGCGUGAGUGAUGAAGGCCUUCGGGUUGUAAAGCUCUGUCUUUUGGGACGAUAAUGACGGUACCAAAGGAGGAAGCCACGGCUAACUACGUGCCAGCAGCCGCGGUAAUACGUAGGUGGCAAGCGUUGUCCGGAUUUACUGGGCGUAAAGGAUGCGUAGGCGGAUUUUUAAGUGAGAUGUGAAAACCCUAAGCUUAACUUGGGGACUGCAUUUCAUACUGGAAAUCUAGAGUGCGGGAGAGGAGAAUGGAAUUCCUAGUGUAGCGGUGAAAUGCGUAGAGAUUAGGAAGAACACCAGUGGCGAAGGCGAUUCUCUGGACCGUAACUGACGCUGAGGCAUGAAAAGCGUGGGUAGCAAACAGGAUUAGAUACCCUGGUAGUCCACGCCGUAAACGAUGAGUACUAGGUGUAGGAGGUAUCGACCCCUUCUGUGCCGCAGUUAACACAAUAAGUACCCCGCCUGGGAAGUACGAUCGCAAGAUUAAAACUCAAAUGAA
rnacentral:rRNA from 1 species